rnacentral:lncRNA from 1 species
UUUGCGUGUGCUUUCGAGGGUAAGCUUUACGUUAUGGGUGGUCGGUCAAGUUUCACAAUCGGAAAUUCAAGGUUCGUUCAUCCCAUCACACACUCAUAUAAGAUAAUCUGCGUUUGUUACAAAUGACAGAACAGGUUGUACUGUGUUUGACAUGCAUUGGACUAAGAUCGGUACCGGUACUGAUACCAAUGAAACAAAAAUCUAAACUUUUUGUCCCACCUAAAAAGGUGAGACAUGGACUCACUCUUGAUCUCUCGUCUGUGCAAAAGACGUAAAUGCCCUCUUCGUCCUCAUUGUCGAAAAUGCCCGACAAAGCUUGUCCAGUCCCAUCUAGUCCUGUCUCGUGCAACAAACACAGUCGUAGACUGUGUUUGGUACACAAGACUGGAUGGGACAGGACAAGUUUUGUCGGGCUAUUUUCGACAAUGAGGACGAGGAGGGCAUUUAUGUCUUUUGCACAGACGAGAGAUCAAGAGCGAGUCCAUAUCCCACCUUUUUGGGCGGGACAAAAAGUUUAGAUUUUUGUUUCGUUGGUAUCGGUACUGGUACCGGUCUCGGUCCAAUGCAUGUCAAAUGCAGUACAACCUGGGGUCUGUAGGUAAUGAUUUGUUUUGAUGCAUUUGAAAAUAGGUUUGUGGACGUGUACGACCCGGUAAACCACAAAUGGUGGGAGAUAAAAAACGGGUGUGUGAUGGUGACGGCUCAUGCGGUGGUUGGG